rnacentral:rRNA from 1 species
CCAUGUAGUUGUCGGUGAGAUUUCCUAGGGACGAGCUUGCGCCUGAUUAGUUAGUUGGCGAGGUAAUGGCUCACCAAGACUAUGAUCAGUAGCUGGUUUGAGAGAGCGGUCAGCCACAUUGGGAUUGAGAUACGGCCCAAACUUCUUCGGGGGGCAGCAGUCGGGAAUUUUCCGCAAUGGGCGCAAGCCUGACGGAGCGAUGCCUUGUGGAGGAUGAAGGAUCAUAAAGGUUCGUAAACUCCUUUUAUUAAGGAACAUUAAUUGUCGUUUCCGUAUUUAGAUAGUACUUAAAGAAUCAAGUAUCGGCUAACUCUGUGCCAGCAGCCGCGGUAAUACGGGGGAUGCAAACGUUGUCCAGUUGUAUUGGGCGUAAAGCGUCCGUAGGUGGACUGGUAAGUUUAUUGUUAAAGAUUCUGGCUCAACCAGGAAAAAGCAAUGAAAACUGCUGGACUAGAGAGUGGACGGGGUGAAGAGAAUAUCUAGUGGAGCGGUAAAAUGCGAUGAUAUUAGGCGGAACACCAGUGGCGAAAGCGCUUCACUAGACCAUUUCUGACACUGAGGGACGAAAGCUAGGGGAGCAAAAAGGAUUAGGUACCCUUGUAGUCCUAUCGCUGUAAACGCUGGGUACUAGAUGUCGCAGUGGUGCGGUGUCUUAGCUAACGCGUUAAGUACCC